rnacentral:lncRNA from 1 species
CUAAUUCUCCUAAUUUCAGCUGAAGCCCCGGGUAAGCUACACAGGAUCCCUGGUGUUUCCUCUGGUUCACAGACAUCCCUCCAGCCUUCUCUGGACAUUGUUUUAUACUUGCAAAAUCAUCUGCUCUCACCAGAUCCCAAAUCCUCCUUCCCAAAAGGAGCCCAGAAUCAGGUUUCUAUACUCCUAUAGACAGCUGCUUCCUCAGGAAGUGAUAUUGUGUACAUACCGCUUCCAAUAUAAAUGGCUCCUGCAAUUAAAGAAAAGAAAACAUUAGGAGGGUGAAAUGAUGGCAUGCACGCCAAUAAUAAUCUGAUAUUCUCUCUCAACAACUUGGGAAAAUUAGAAAGGGUAUAGUGAUUGAGUCAAAGGUCAAAGUCCCCCAAAAUUAGCACAGAGGACACCUAUGGAAAAGACAAGACCUUUUCCCACAGAAUUUACCUUUAAAGUAUAUUUAAAUGGGUAGUCAAUAACUCUUAAUCCACGGGGAAACUGCUGUGGAGGGAAACACUCUGCAUUGCAGUGGAUCGUGGAUGCCGCCAUCUACCACGCCUGCAGUCUGCAUGGGUUGGUGAGAGAGGUUGCCAAUCAAUAGCACCACACCAAGGGCAUUGCAGAUGUCAUAAAUAAUGCACAUUGGCAGAUGUUCAUGUCUACAUCUGAUUGGAAAGAAGUCAGGAAAGUAACAUUUCGGUUCAAGACAAAGAAAAGUGUCUUACCUUGGCAGCUGCCUUCUUCACAGGUGUGCUGUCUAGCCCUCAUUAGUUAUGUUGUAAACAAUGUCCUCAUUAGAAAUGUUUCCUGCAGUGUCCUCCUUACACAUGUGUUCAGCAUUCUCACUCGCGAUGUCACUUAUAGCAGCCUCAUUACAGAUGUCUCCAGCGUCAUUCAAGAUGUCAGGUACAGCAGCCUCAUUAGAGAUGUCCACAGUGUCCUCAUUACAGAUGUCUACGGCGUCCUCAUCGCAGAUGUCAUAUACAGUGUCUUCGUCAGAGAUGUCCUGUAUAGGGUCCCCACAGGGGGCUAGGAGAACACAGGGUAAAGGUCAGUGCCCUGGUGGUGGAGACUGUGAAUCACCCAGGGAGCUUGCUUGGUGUGGUGCAUGGAGGUGGCUGAUCACAGCAUGGGCCGAGCUGAUGCUGGGCCAUCCUCCCGGGUGGAUCUGCGCUAGGGAAGCUAAGGGACAUGACUCAGAACGCUUUCUGCAGUGGGAAUCAGCUUCCACGUUCAGAUAUGCUUUAUCCAGUGAAGUGGGGAAAUAUAAAAAAAUAGAAAUUCACAAAUUCCUGAAAAGCCCUCCAUGAGUGCAAGUGUGAUUUUUUUUGUUAACCACUUUACAUUCAUCAUGUAUUCACACAAACAAAAUAUUCUUACAAGAAAUCAGAAAUCUUAAUUUUUGUCAGUUAUGUUAAAUCUAAGUUAGCUAUCAACAUAAAGAUUCUAUCUCAUUUACUCUGUGGUCUCCAGAAAAUCUAACACAUAGUAAGUAGACCAAAAUGUUUAUUAAAUGAAAACACAGAGCAGGGGCAGGGGGGGCUAGUAGGCAGACCGGGUUGCACCUGAUUACCUGGAUGAUAAUAAACAGCACAAAACCUCGGUCAGAUUAAUAUUGAAACUGCCUUUUGCUUCCGCUCUUUUCCCUUGCAGAAGAAGGAUGACCAAUAAGAUGAACAGGAAAGAAAUGAGAAACAGUAGGCCGGGCGCGGUGGCUCACGCCUGUAAUUCCAGCACUUUGGGAGGCCGAGGCGGGCGGAUCACAAGGUCAAGAGAUCGACCACGGUGAAACCCCGCUCUACUAAAAUACAAAAUUAGCCGGGCGCGGGUGGCGGGCUCUCGUAGUCCCAGCUACUCCGGAGGCUGAGGCAGGAGAAUGCAUGGAACCCAGAGGCA